UGGUACAGAAACAUCCAUAUCACCCUUGACUUUGGGGCCUUUAAGAUUUAGGUUUACAUCUGGCAUAGAGAUUUUUGGACCAGAUAUGGUAGGCAUUUUGAACUUGGGACCCUUGAUUUUUCCCUCUGGUCCCUCAAUGUCAAGAUCAGGCGUUUUGAUGUCAAAUUCAGGUCCUUUGAUGUCAACAUCAGCUUUCGGCAGAUUUACAUCAACAUCUGGGCCCUCAACUUUAGGACCCUUGAGUCCAAAUGAUGGCAUUUUUAUUUUCGGCAUCUUGAAGCCACCUUCAGGACCCUCUAUGUUAACAUCAGGACCUUCAAUGUC